rnacentral:rRNA from 1 species
UACGGGGGGGGUAAGCGUUGUUCGGAGUUACUGGGCGUAAAGGGUGUGUAGGCGGUUAUUUAAGUUUGGUGUGAAAUCUCCCGGCUCAACCGGGAGGGUGCGCCGAAUACUGAAUGACUUGGAGUGCGGGAGAGGAAAGUGGAAUUCCUGGUGUAGCGGUGAAAUGCGUAGAUAUCAGGAGGAACACCUGCGGUGUAGACGGCUUACUGGACCAUAACUGACGCUGAGGCACGAAAGCGUGGGUAGCAAACAGG